rnacentral:lncRNA from 1 species
GGGGAAUAUACCAACGGUCAAUGAAAUAAAAAAAAUCGAAGUAAAACAGACAACACUUUAUGUUUAAAACAAAACAACAGUUCACAAAACAAUAGAUAGUUGACUUGUGAGUGCGAUUCAUAAACCCCCGCAAACACAGGGGAUAGUCUCAGGCGACCUGAUUUGGUAAGCAGUUCCUUCCCCACUCAUGUCACCCGUUACCGUCGUGUUGCUAAUUGCAAGUAAACUCAAGUGAUACGUCGGUUAUAUCUCUACGCAUUUACAAUCAUGAUUGG